rnacentral:rRNA from 1 species
UAAGACGAACCGUGCGAACGUUGUUCGGAAUCACUGGGCUUAAAGGGCGCGUAGGCGGAUGACCAAGUCAGGGGUGAAAUCCUCCGGCUUAACCGGAGAACAGCCUUUGAUACUGGUUGUCUCGAGGGAGGUAGGGGUCAUGGGAACUUCUGGUGGAGCGGUGAAAUGCGUUGAUAUCAGAAGGAACGCCGGUGGCGAAAGCGCAUGACUGGACCUCUUCUGACGCUGAGGCGCGAAAGCUAGGGGAGCGAACGGGAUUAGAUACCCCGGUAGUCCUAGCCCUAAACGUUGGGUACUAGAUUGUAGACUUGCAUGGGUUUACAGUCGAAGCAAAAGUGAUAAGUACCCCGCCUGGGGAGUAUGGUCGCAAGGCUG